rnacentral:rRNA from 1 species
UACGUAGGGUGCAAGCGUUGUCCGGAAUUAUUGGGCGUAAAGAGCUCGUAGGCGGUUUGUUGCGUCGGCUGUGAAAUCCCGAGGCUCAACCUCGGGUCUGCAGUCGAUACGAGCAAACUAGAGUGUUGCAGGGGAGACUGGAAUUCCUGGUGUAGCAGUGAAAUGCGUAGAUAUCAGGAGGAAUACCGAUGGCGAAGGCAGGUCUCUGGGCUGACACUGACGCUCAUGCACGAAAGCGUGGGGAGCAAACAGG